CAUGUCUUUUUGAUUAUAAUUGAAAGUCUAAUCUGCUCCAUGAAUUUUUAUUUAAAUAGCUGCAGUAUUUUGACUGUACAAAGGUAGCAUAAUAAAUAGUUUUUUAAUUGAAGACUUGUAUGAAGGAUUGGACGAGAAAAUAACUGUCUCGAGUUUAAAUAUUAUUGAAUUUAACUUUUUAGUUCAAAGGCUAAAAUUUUUUUAAAAGACAAGAAGACCCUAUAGAGUUUUAUAGUUGGUAGUUUUUAUUUUUUUAGAAUUAAUAAAAUUUAAAUUAAUAUUAAUUAUUUAGUUGGGGUGAUUAAAAAAUUUUAUAAACUUUUUUAUUUUAAUAAUUAUUUAUAUAUAAUUUUUUUAUCUAUUUUAAAAUUAAAAUAAAUUACCUUAGGGAUAACAGCGUUAUAUGAUUUUAAAGCUCUUAUUUAAAAUCUUGAUUGCGACCUCGAUGUUGGAUUAAAAUUUAUUUUUA
rnacentral:rRNA from 1 species